UACGGGGGGGGGCAAGCGUUGUUCGGAAUUACUGGGCGUAAAGGGCUCGUAGGCGGCCAACUAAGUCAUACGUGAAAUCCCUCGGCUUAACCGGGGAACUGCGUCUGAUACUGGAUGGCUUGAGUUCGGGAGAGGGAUGCGGAAUUCCAGGUGUAGCGGUGAAAUGCGUAGAUAUCUGGAGGAACACCGGUGGCGAAGGCGGCAUCCUGGACCGAUACUGACGCUGAGGAUCGAAAGCCAGGGGAGCGAACAGG
rnacentral:rRNA from 1 species